GACAGAGGGUGCAAACGUUGCUCGGAAUUACUGGGCGUAAAGCGCGUGUAGGUGGAUUGGUGUGUCAGAUGUGAAAUCCCUGGGCCCAACCCAGGAACUGCACCUGAAACUACCAGUCUUGAGUGGUGGAGAGGGAAGUGGAAUUCCUGGUGUAGAGGUGAAAUUCGUAGAUAUCAGGAGGAACACCAGUGGCGAAGGCGGCUUCCUGGACACUAACUGACGCUGAGACGCGAAAGCGUGGGGAGCAAACAGG
rnacentral:rRNA from 1 species